UACGUAGGGGCGCAAGCGUUAUCCGGAAUUAUUGGGCGUAAAGAGCUCGUAGGCGGCUUUGUCGCGUCUGCCGUGAAAGUCCGGGGCUCAACUCCGGAUCUGCGGUGGGUACGGGCAGACUAGAGUGAUGUAGGGGAGACUGGAAUUCCUGGUGUAGCGGUGAAAUGCGCAGAUAUCAGGAGGAACACCGAUGGCGAAGGCAGGUCUCGUGGGCAUUAACUGACGCUGAGGAGCGAAAGGCAUGGGGAGCGAACAGG
rnacentral:rRNA from 1 species